GUGGUCACUUGAUAUGCCACCUCAUUUAAUAAGGGAGAUCAAGUGGUCCACGUUUUUUUUUAUUUUCAGAAUUUCCUUUUAUUUGUUUUAUUUUCAUAAAUUCAUACUAAUUUUAAUAUUGAUCCAAAAAAUAUGAGUGUUUCACCAAAAAAAUUUAAAUAAAUUCCUCUUUCAUUUUCUGAAUUAAAAUUAUUUUUCGAUAUUAUUAAUAUUUUUCAUGAUUUAAUUGAUUUUGUCAAUAUUUG
rnacentral:lncRNA from 1 species